CUCAGUUCCGUAGGUGAACCUGCGGAAGGAUCAUUGCACACACAAGUUGCAGCCAACCUUGGCGAACGAACACAUUGUCCCCCUUCGGCGGGUCGCGUGGCGCCUCGCGGCGACGUCGCGGCCGGCCGUCACCCCUCGUCACGACGAGUUUCGUGGCGUCGGGUUUCCACACGAUGCAUCACCCGAACGACUGAGUCCCGAAUACUUGGAUGGAGGAGUGGUGCGUUCCGUCCCCUUGGGCGAGUGAGUGAGCUUGCUGGCUUGCGAACUCGAGGGGCGCGGCGCGCGCCGGUUACCUUGAUCAAAACGAGUUGUGAAACGUAAUCAAAACAACUCUCAGCAACGGAUAUCUUGGCUCUUGCAACGAUGAAGAACGCAGCGAAAUGCGAUACGUAGUGUGAAUUGCAGAAUUCCGCGAAUCAUCGAGUCUUUGAACGCAAGUUGCGCCCGAGGCUUGUCCGAGGGCAUUUCCGCUAGAGCGUCACCGCGCCCCCCACCGAUCCACACUCCCGCCGCGAGGCGCUAGUUUGCUUAGGGUCGAGUGGAAGUGGCCGUCCCGGCGCGAGAAGGCUAAGGGUCGGCUGAAAUGGAUGGAAUUGGGCCGCCGUGGUGACACAGUCCGCGAUCGGGUGAUUUUGUCGCGAGCCUCCCGAGGUUCGCCGUGAAUUUUUCUAAGUGCGUGGCUGCGUCCCCCAGUUGGCUUUGGUUACCUCGAGCAGGUCGAGCGCGCCCCCGCGGCGCGCGUCACGCAUCAGACCUCUAAUCGGAAAAGACUACCCGCUGAGUUUAGAUCUUCC
rnacentral:rRNA from 1 species